AAGAAAAACACAGGGGGCGACCAAAGCUCCCUCAUGAACCCUAGUUCUUGCAAUUCUACCAAAUUGAUAGGGAAAAUCGGCUCCAAAUCGAAAUCCAAACUCAGAUUAGUGAUCACCUUCGUGAAAGGAUCAUAAGGCAAGGAAACCGGGACGUCAAGCGGACAAGUUGUUGGUGAUACGCGUUUGAAAGGAGCGCUUUGAAGGUACUCCGGGUAUGCUAACGGAUGAUGAUCAAGCAUGGAACAAAGACCGAACGCACCAUUUUUGAAGCUUCCGCCGUGAUCUAUUUUGUUUAGACU